UGUGAUACAAACCGAAUGCUGGGUUUCUACUAUUGUAUCAUUAUAUUAUUUUAUCUUGUUGAAAGAACAUGGUAUAUUAUAUCUGAUAUACCACGUUCUUUCAUAAGCUUUAGAGGUGCUGGUAGGCUAAAUGUGUACUCUUUGGACAAAGCUAGGCUACCACCUAGCUUUUUCCACCUCUGAACUGUCUUUAUGCUAAGUUUGCCAUCUGCUGGUAGUACUUGUAGCUACAUAUGUACAUUAUUCAUGUGUCAAUCGUCUUGUCAAAUUCUCAGCAACAAAGCUAAGUGUAUUUGCCAAAAUGUUGAACUUGUCUUGGAUCAGAUUAGUGGAGAUGUUAAUAGUUAAAACUGGGCAGAAAAAAACAGCCCAUUUCUUCUGAGACAGCUGAGCAGGGAGAAAUGCAGUGAGAUGUUCACAGCUGCUAUAGACCUGACCUCCACUACGGCUGCUAGAAUUUGUGUAAAGCCAGCUGAAAUCCCUCAACGAGUGCAGCUGGGUCGGAGUGGAGUUAGUUCUGUGGUUAGGUCUGCGACCGCUUUAGAGUCGGGAGUCAAGGUAAGGUGAUGAAAAGUGUUGGACAAUGUUGGGGGAAUGUUAAUUUUAGGUGGCAGUAAGGGGUAGAUGAGGUAAAAAGAAAUAGAUUGGGCACUUUUAAAGUGAUGCUACAUUGUUUUCACCUCUGCAUGAUUUAUUCAUAUACCUGUAAUGUCUUGCCAGUGCGCUGCACUGUGCAGGUCACACGCUGCAUCCUGCAACCACUGCUGGUAUAGAUUGCUUUGAUUGUCUUUGUAUUUGUCUAUUAAAGCCUGAGAAUGUUGAAAUAAUGAAAAAUCCAAAAGAAGGCUUAAUAACAUAAGGAAAUCACCACCACAAGCAGAAUCUUACUAUUUUUUUUUGGGGGGGGGGGGGAUUUCACACCUUUUUUUUUUUUUUUAAAAGCCUUGUCCUAUUUAUGUCCUGUGUAAAUAUAGAAGGUUCAAAGUAUGUGCUCCGAUCAAGGAAAUGUGUCUCAGAUGACAUCUUUGGGCUCCAUCUUAUAGUACACGUAUGUUCUUUAAAGUCAAGGUCUUGGAUGCAACCUUCAAACACUUCUUUUUUUUUUUUCUAAUUUAAAUGUAAUUUUUACACUGAGAUAUUGACGGUUUCUUCUUUGCAGUUUUCUAAAUGCAACCACUCAACGGUGUGGUUUGAUAAUUGUACAACCUCCAACUCUCCCUUCCUUCCUACAUUCCUUGCUUGAGUCGUACUGUAUGUUUGUUACCAGCGUCAGUUCAUCCGCUAUGUUUCUGAAGAUCAUCUUUGUACUCCAAAAACAUUUUUAAUAAUUUACCGCUGUUUGUGUGAGACGUGAUGUUGGACACAGACAGUUAAUUUCACACGUUCUAUAACACUGGUUCUCCCUAACAUGAGAAAUCUUUAGUGGAAAGUGCCUGUCAGGGUAUCUGUACCCACGCCAAGAAAAUCACCUAAUGAAUUAUCUUGAAGGAAAAAAUUUACACUGAAAGACAUUUUGAAAUAAUCGCAUCAGUGUUUCAGAAAAUUCUCUUGUGGAUUUCUUUUAAGAUUGAAGAAGUUUGAAAGUACAGUGCCGCCAAACAAAUGCAAAAUUGGUUCAAAAUCAUCUUGCUGUGUCUUUGAUCAUGCCCUUCAGUCUGCAAUGUUAUUUAAAAUAUUAUGCCUGUCUGUUCAGCUUAUGCCCGAGCUUUUUGGGGGGCCUUUUUGAUGUAGUGUGGCAUUAUUCUGUUUAUAUUUACUGGAAUUAAAAGCUUUUAAACUCCAUUGGCAAUGUUUUCUUACAUGACUAUUCAGAUAUUUCUCUUUUUCACUGUAUGCAUUGGUAUCAGUCUAUUUUCAUGUUGGUGUUUGUAUAAAUGCUGUAUGUCCAUGUCUUGUAAGGUGUUGUCUUGUUCUGCAUAUGUGCUCUGUCCAAAUGUUAAAUCUUUAUUAAAGUCCUAAUUUUCAGAUGU